CCUACGUGAGGCAGCAGUGGGGAAUAUUGCGCAAUGGGCGAAAGCCUGACGCAGCGACGCCGCGUGAGGGAUGAAGGUCUUCGGAUCGUAAACCUCUGUCAGCAGGGACGAACGGUCACUGUGCUAAACAGCAGUGAAUUGACGGUACCUGCAAAGGAAGCACCGGCUAACUCCGUGCCAGCAGCCGCGGUAAUACGGAGGGUGCGAGCGUUAAUCGGAAUUACUGGGCGUAAAGCGCUCGUAGGCGGUAUGUCAAGUCAAGGGUGAAAUCCCCGCGCUCAACGUGGGAACUGCCUUUGAAACUGGCAAACUGGAGUGUGUGAGAGGAUAGUGGAAUUCCAGGUGUAGGAGUGAAAUCCGUAGAUAUCUGGAGGAACAUCAGUGGCGAAGGCGACUAUCUGGCACAUAACUGACGCUGAGGAGCGAAAGCGUGGGUAGCAAACAGGAUUAGAUACCCUUGUAGUC
rnacentral:rRNA from 1 species